rnacentral:lncRNA from 1 species
AUUACAGGCGCUGUUACCAUGCCCGGCUAAUUUUUGGAUUUUUAGUAGAGGUGGGGUUUCACCAUGUUGGCCAGGCUGGUCUCAAACUCCUGACCUCAAGGGAUCCUCCCACCUCAGCCUACCAAAGUGCUAGGAUUACAGUCCUGAGCCACUGCACCUGGCCAACAUAGUCAUUCUUAAAAGAGUUUUGGAAUUUAUAUUUUACAACUGUAUUCCUAACAUAACGUUAAUUCAUUAUGCAAAACACUCCUUGCAAUGGAAACAGAAAUAAAGAAUAGCCACUUCACAGCAAUAACAUGAACUCCUGGAUUUAAGACACAACCAAUAUCAACAGGUGGAGAGCAUCUUCUGCAUACGUGCUCCGCCUUUGAAAACUGCAGCCAUUUAUCACUACCAAAUAGCAUUUCUUUCAUUGGUCUUCUUGUAAGAUUGAUAAAUCUUAGAUAAAUUAAUCCAGAAUUAACUGAAUGUAAGUUAGAAUCUCAAGCAAGGGAUACUAAGUAGAUAAAAGUGUUGCUCAAUGUACUGGAUACUAUGAUUGAUUUUAUAGGCAGGAGAGUUGUUUUCUGUGGGAAUCACAGACAAGAGAUUCAGCGUGUAUUCCUACUUUAGGCAACACAACAUUUCUCCUUUAUCUUCCUUUUCUUGUCCUAUCUGGAUUAGUUCUCUCUUGUCCCUGACAGACUGAGAAACUGACUCUAAUGCCUCAGAGUGCAUUCAUGUGAAUUUAUAACACAAUAAUGUUUAUCAGCCUUUGCUCCCAGUGCAGGGAUUUUGCGACUGAAAGACUGUUCAAAACAUGAUAAUUUGGAUUUUUAGUCUUUGGGGGCAUCCUAAAUAAUAAGUUUAGCAUCGGAGAGCUCGAGUUCCCCAAAAUCUAAAAUAAUAUUUUUUCAAAUACUUGAGUGAUCAGUUACAGACGCUAAUCUCCAAAACUCCCAAUACGGGUUCUAAGGCUAGGUGAGACUAUCCUCUACCCCAGAAGAACGUGCAGUUUAAGGACAGACCGCUGAGGUGGAGCUGGGCCUUUCCUGCAAGUAAGUGAAUAUGAUGGUAGGGUAUACCUGACAGCAUAGUUUGACAGGGGACAUAGACUUUCAAGGAGAGAAUAGACAUGAAAUAGACACAUGCGGAAGUAUAGUCAAAUUGAGGAAAGAUGACACUUAAGCCAGAGUGAUGCUUAUUCACCGCUCUGUGCAA